GAAGGUGGCCGUAGAUGAGGUAGGAUGGAACACCCUGGAAGCCGUGGGCGGGUGCUGGGCCUGCCUUGGUGGCAUCUGGCAUCCCAAAACCACCACAGAGGAGACUGGGAAGGUUAGGAGGCAAGGAACAAGGUCUUCUGGAAAUUUGCUGUGAGGAGCGCAUCUGAGUUCUCUCCAUGCUGCUGGAAAAUGAUACGCCCAGCAAGCCAGUCAAAGGAAAUAUAAUCUAAAAGGACUGAAAGGCAAUCUUUUGGACUCUUAAAGCAUUUUACUAAUAACCGGCACUGGCCCUUUAUAGGAGUAAAAUCCCAUUUGGAUUCAGCACGACUGUAUAAGAUUAGGUCAAGGCUCACAAGACAAGGAGAAAGGACUCAUCUCCAGGGCACUUUGCUGGUGUUUUCCUCAAAAAGGAAUUUGCUUUCAAACAGACAUGCAUUCACUAAUCUCUUUUCUUUAAAAAAAAAAAAAAAAGGGAAGAAAGAAGAGAAAAGAAAGAAAGAAAACCACAAACACAGAAUCUCUUCCAACUCAGCUGACUGAGUCCAGUGGGGAUGACAACAGCAUUCAUUUGCGUGAUCCCACAGAGCUGGGGUCCAGGAUAAAAAUAAAUGUGACUUUUCAAAUCGAGACAUAGUGUUGCUUUGUUUAUAACUCAAUUAAAGAACAGGCAUUACAAUGUUAUUGUAUGAUGGCGAGAUAAUGAAGAGAGCCACAUUUUUUGGGCUACAAUAAAGCAACACCUGUGCUUGAAAGAUUGGCAUCAGUAUCUUAAGAAAGCCAGAAGGGGACAGUUCCUGAUUUCCAGGGGGCUGUUCCGAGUGUGGUGAGGGUGGAGGAGAAAAGGGACAAAAUCCU